rnacentral:rRNA from 1 species
GUAGGGGGGGCAAGCGUUGUCCGGAAUUAUUGGGCGUAAAGCGCGCGCAGGGCGGUCCUUUAAGUCUGAUGUGAAAGCCCACGGCUCAACCGUGGAGGGUCAUUGGAAACUGGGGGACUUGAGUACAGAAGAGGAAAGCGGAAUUCCAAGUGUAGCGGUGAAAUGCGUAGGGAUUUGGAGGAACACCAGUGGCGAAGGCGGCUUUCUGGUCUGUAACUGACGCUGAGGCGCGAAAGCGUGGGGAGCAAACAGGAUUAGAUACCCUGGUAGUCCACGCCGUAAACGAUGAGUGCUAAGUGUUAGGGGGUUUCCGCCCCUUAGUGCUGCAGCUAACGCAUUAAGCACUCCGCCUGGGGAGUACGGCCGCAAAGGCUG